rnacentral:rRNA from 1 species
CAAGCGUUGUCCGGAAUCAUUGGGCGUAAAGAGCGUGUAGGCGGCUCGGUAAGUCCGCUGUGAAAGUCCAGGGCUCAACCCUGGGAUGCCGGUGGAUACUGUCGGGCUCGAGUCCGGAAGAGGAGUGUGGAAUUCCCGGUGUAGCGGUGAAAUGCGCAGAUAUCGGGAGGAACACCGGUGGCGAAGGCGGAUCUCUGGGCCUGUCCUGACGCUCAGGCGCGAAAGCUAGGGGAGCGAACAGG